AGUGAACGCUGGCGGUAGGCCUAACACAUGCAAGUCGAACGGCAGCACAGUAAGAGCUUGCUCUUACGGGUGGCGAGUGGCGGACGGGUGAGGAAUACAUCGGAAUCUACUUUUUCGUGGGGGAUAACGUAGGGAAACUUACGCUAAUACCGCAUACGACCUACGGGUGAAAGCAGGGGAUCUUCGGACCUUGCGCGAUUGAAUGAGCCGAUGUCGGAUUAGCUAGUUGGCGGGGUAAAGGCCCACCAAGGCGACGAUCCGUAGCUGGUCUGAGAGGAGGAUCAGCCACACUGGAACUGAGACACGGUCAAGACUCCUACGGGAGGCAGCAGUGGGGAAUAUUGGACAAUGGGCGCAAGCCUGAUCCAGCCAUACCGCGUGGGUGAAGAAGGCCUUCGGGUUGUAAAGCCCUUUUGUUGGGAAAGAAAAGCAGCAGGUUAAUACCCCGCUGUUCUGACGGUACCCAAAGAAUAAGCACCGGCUAACUUCGUG
rnacentral:rRNA from 1 species